UAUAGGGAGACCUACUGGUUAGAGGUUGAAAGUAAGUGACUAGAGAUAGUGACAAGCGAGUAGAUUAAUAACUGGUCAUCCCAAAGGUCGUUCGGAUUGUGGAUGUUGUCUUUCAAAGCUAUAUAGAGAAUGGUUCGGGCAUAAACAAGCUGAGGGCUAUUAGCUCAGAUGGUUAGAGCGCACCCCUGAUAAGGGUGAGGUCUCUGGUUCGAGUCCAGAAUGGCCCACCAUUCAUCAAAAUGGGGGUUUAGCUCAGUUGGUAGAGCGCCUGCUUUGCAAGCAGGAUGUCAACGGUUCGAGUCCGUUAACCUCCACUGGGUGAAUACCCAAGCGAGAGAAGAGAAGCGAUUACAACAGCAACUGGUCUAGUAAUACUAGAGAGCCUGCUGAGGUAAAGCUCAGCAAAGAACCUUGAAAACUGCAUAGAAACUUGUCAGGUAGUCGAUUAUUGGUCGUGAUGAGCGAUUAAUAAUCAGAUAUAUCAAAGACACCUAUUAGUUGAAAAACGUUUGCGAAACGAAAGU
rnacentral:tRNA from 2 species